ensembl:lncRNA
GUUAGAAGGUGGGGCCUGGGUGGAAGAAGCCAGUCUCUGGAGAUAUGACCUGGUAGGGUGUUUUUCCUCCUGGUUCCUCCCCUCACUCUGCUUUCUGGCCACCAGGGUGUGAGCAGCUUUUCUCUGCCUGUUUCGUCCACUAUGCUGCCAAUUAUGCAAAGACUGAAACUUCUGAAAUCUGAACCAAAAUAAACCUUCCCUUCUGUAAGUUGUGGAUGUAGAGUAUUGUGUCCCAGUGAUGAGAAAUUAGGAGAAGGUUGGCUAUGAAGGCAGAGUGGGACCUUCUUCACUGCAGUCCUCCUACAACUUGGACCAGAGGAUUCCAUCUUCGCUGUUACAGUAUCCAUCUCCACAAGCUACUCUGCCUUAAGUACUGCAUGCCAUCACCUCCCUGCUGGUUUGCUCCUUCUGGUACUACCUAAUUCACAUUCAAGUGUCAAUUUUCUUUCGAGAUGGGUGCUAAGAUAUAAACUGUCUGGUAAGUGAAGCCUCCUUUCUUGAUUUUUGUUUAAAGUAGAUAUUCUAUAUUCUGGCACCCAGGUUCUCAAAGGUAGGAACCAAAAGCUAUGACUUAUGAGGACUGGAGUAUUAUUUUGUUAUCUUCCUGCAUAUAAAGCACCUAGAAAAUAUUUUAUUUUCAUUAAUUCUCACCAAAUGAUAUGAAAUAUUAAACAGUUCAAUCCACAAAGUAGUAGAAGAUAAUUGAAUUGAAUUAUUUAGAUAAGAUCUGAUGUUUGUGAGAGUCAUGAAAUGUAUUUCAAAGAAAAAUUGGGUAUGUAUGAAUAAAAGGAAAGAAACAGAGAAACUAACUAGAAAGGAACUAUGGACAAUUAAUUUCUGUAAACCUAUAUAAUUGCUUAGAUUUUAUUCUCUUUAAACUUCUAAGUACUCUUGAAAAAAAUGGAAAAUGUCUGAAAUUCUUUUCAUAUAUGUCUAAGAAAUAUGGAAAUAUGUGAUUCAUUCUUGUUCUGGAAUUUGAAAGGAUUAAGUAAUAUUUUUUAUGCACCAAAGCGGGGGAAAACAAUUUGUCAGAAAAGAAAUUUACAAUGUACUGUCAUGGACAUUUAUUUAAAAAUGGCUUACCCAUAAAUUAUGUUUUUUGAUGAAACUUUUUCUUAAAUAAUUGACAAUUGUAGUAGAAUUUGUUAGCUUUUUCUGGCUUUUAAUUUCGAAAUAUGUAGUUGUUGAGAGAAAAAUAUAAUAAUUUAAUGCAGAUUAUAUUUUUUUGUUACAGAACAUUCAAAUUGAAAUCAUUGUUAUUGCAAAGCCUUAGUUUUUAGCAUAAAGCUACCAAAAUCUAGGGAUUUUUUUGCCAAAAAAUAUUAGAUAUUUUGUGGAAGUUCCUGUGGAUCUAUAUAACUUAUAUGAGAAUCAAUACAACAAAAGGUUUGUGUUCUCAGCAAAUGAUAUCAGGUGGAUUGUUAAAAAAAAAAUUUUGAUAUUUGAAUUUCUUCAUUAAAUAGUGAUGUAUUUCUUGAAUAAUGCAGGCUAUCUUGGGAGUAUCAUUAGAAAUACAGUUAAAUAAUUUUAAAAUUGUGAUUCAGAAAAUUUAUUUAUUAAUUCCUACAUGUAAUUUUUGUUUAGAGAAACAUCUUAGAAAUAUAUGUUUGAUUAUAUCCUUUAAGAAUACAAGAAGAUAUAGUUUAGGAGUAGAAAUAUCGUAAUACUUACUGUACACAAUUUUUUCUGCUUUUCAACUUUUUAGAGUAAGUCCAAUUUUUUCCCAUAGCAUUUAUGUUUUUAAUAUAAAUUUUGUGAUUGAGACAGUACUAUCUGAUAUCACUAUCGGUAAAUAUGAAAAUUUUGAACAAUUAUAACCAACAUUCUAAGUAUCAAUUGAGAAUAGAUAGAAAUAAAAGUUUCAUAAGCCUUUAAAAUGGCACAUGAAAACCUUGAUAGGUGGGGACAAAUAAAAGAGGGAAAGGAAAGAAAUUAAAUCAAUAGAAAACACAAAAGUUCAAAUGUUAGAGACCAAGUCAGUGUGUGCAAAUAGGAAUAUCUUUGUGUAUCCAAUCUAUCUGUGAAGUGGAAAGUUAGGACACCUGGUUCUGCAUUUGUUUAGACUGUUUUUGUACUUAUUUUAAAAAUAAAAUAGGUAAAACAUGUUGAAGCACCUUUCUUGAAAAUAUUUGGCCAUAUUUCCUGUAACUUUAAAUGGACACUAUCUGAUUGUCAGUCAUGUUAGAAAGAACCCAAGUAUAGGAGACUGCAGAAGAAUGGUAUAAAAGGCUUCUUAAUAUUUAGUGUCCAGAGAACUCAUCAUUAAGUAAUCAGAUAGAUGAAACGGAGCAGCCAUUUCAUGAUUCCUAAGUAGCAGCCUUGAUUUUUGAUUCCCUCGCAUUCCACAUACCUAAUGGACAGUUAUUUCUAGUACUACCAUUUAUAUAUUUCAUUUUACAUGCUUUUAUGGAAUGCCGGUGAAACAUAAAAAUCUAAAUGUUAAAUUAGGAAAAAUAUAAGAAUGUCUUGCCUUUGGUACUACACUAGGAAUGAGAAACAUGUUUUCAAACAUGACUCAAGUAAUUCAUGUCAGUGGGUAAAGGAGUACAUUUAUUUUUAUGUAUAAGCAACUAUUUCCCAAACAGUUACAAUAAAACUCAAGAGUUUUUGGAUCAAAGACUUGCUACUGAACCUAAAAAGUAUUCCCAUGUGUAAUAUAAGAAUUUUUAACACUUUGUUGAGAUAUAUGAACCCUUAUACAUAAGGAAACCAUUUGUCUAAUUUCUUAAAAUUUUCCAGGAACGAACCUCUUGCUAAAAUGUUUUCUUGACAAUUUUGCUUCUUGACAAAAAUAUGAAUUAAAUUUUUUUAACUGGCUUUAUUUCAACUUCAUAUUUUUAUUAAAAAUUAUAACAGGUUAUAAUCUGGGUAUUGAUAUCUACAGUAAAUAAGUAAAAUUUAUUUGUAGGUAAUAUUUUAUAACUAUAUAACCACAUAUCUUGGUAGGAUCUCUGAUGGAUCAGACUGGUUUACUACUUUACUGCAAAUUACAAAUAAUCAAAAUGUAACGCUCCUUAAAAAUAUUUGUUGAUUUAGUAAAUCCAUAGAUUACAAUUUUGAAGAUAAGCCUGAGUAAAUACAGAGUGAUAUUAUAUUAUUACUAUUAAAUUCUCACAUGUGCAAAGCACUUUGGUUUUUGUAAAGGAGCAGUACUGCAUAUGUUAAAGAGCAAGAGCACUGGAUCAAGAAAUAUUAAUUAAAUAUUCUAUCUCAAUUUUGGUGUAAGACCUCACACCUCUAUAUAUAAUAGCUCUAUCAUCUCAAACUACUGAAUGAGUGGAUCCUUGUAAUGUGCUUAGAGAACGUCUGAUUACUUAGUAAGCAUGUGUAUAUAUUAUAAAUUCUUACUACUGUUUAAAUUAAAAAUGUAUUCCAUGCUCACAGAGUUUGUAUUCUAGUAGGAAAAACAGAUGUGACCAAAAUUAGUUCUAAUAUAAAGUGUCAGUUUCAGAAACUUGAAAUAGAAAAAGUAAAAACUGAUGCUUAAUGAGUGAGAAUUUGGGAGUAUUUCAUCAAUGAAGUUGCUCUUUAACUGAGCCUUAGGUAAUGUCAUGUUAUUGUGAAGUUUUUCAUGCACAUUCCAACUUGAGAAACUAGCAAUAUCAGUGUUCUGAUGAAAGUGCAGUAGCUAAGCCUAAAGAAGUGUGAGGAAUCAACAAACAUCAUUAAGUCUUAAAUGGCUUUUAAAAAUUAAUAUGUUAAAUAAUUAUCCUGUUAAAUCAUUCUAUGGCAUUUCCUACUAACCUUUACUCUUUCACAAUGCAUUAAAGUAAAGUCACUGUUGUUGGCAGUAAGCCUCGGACUCAAUUUGUCAGUCCAGAAAUAAAGCACUCUGACACCAAUAAAGUUCAACAAGGUAAGUUUACUUCUGCAGAAGGGUGUGUUACACCUCUAAGAUGAGGUAGCAAGCACACAGAGACUUAGUUGCAGGCUCCUUUUAUAUCUUAACUUGUGAGAAGCCCCUGACCUUCGCCCCAUUGGCUGGUUGGAAGGUUCACAAUCUAUCCUGAUUGACUAGUUGAGGUAAAGGGAUGGCUUGAUGGGUUGUUGGGCAGGGUUCCUCAUGGGGCUUUUUGGGGAGGGGAACUGAAUGGAGUAACAUUCUUUUGUAACUGUAACCCCUACAACCCUGGUGAUAGGGUUAGGGCAGAGCAGCCUAAGGUGAACUAGAGUUUAAGGUGGAGGUGCUGCUGUUUAUAUCUUUUUAUAGAAAAGAUAGGGACACAGUUUCUCAUGCUGUCAAUGGCCAACCUACCUCUCCACAUUUAUCUUAACAAUAUUCUCACCUACCAUUCCUAGUUUGCUUCUAUACUCCAUCUUUUUCUUCUCUCUUUUUUUCCAAAUAUCUCUAUGAUUUUGUACAUUUAUUUCUUUCUCAAAGGUUCUUAGAACUAAUCCUACACUUGAAAAAUUCCAACUCUCUAUUAACUGUUUUGAUUAAAUUUUAUUUCCUUUGUAGAAUUUUAACCUUUUUAAAUUUAACUUUAACUUUAUCAUUUCAUGUUUGGCAGGUAGACAUCAUCUACACACACACACACACACACACACACACACACAUACACACUCUACAAACCUAAAUUAGUUAAACUACUUAGAUUAAAUUCUCAAUUUCUUCAGUCAGGGAUAGUGAAUCUUAUUAGAGAUGAGUUUAGCCACUCAGAGCUGUAAUAGAUGCAGCUUAUCUCAGUGUGGCCCCCAAACCCUGAGGGGUGAGUGCUUGCAUGUAGCUGCCUGUGAUACCUGUCAUAUACAGCACAGACUUGACUUAAGACUCUUAAUUUCCUACUGGCCUAUCAUCUUUCAUAAUUGAUGUUUUCAUUAUUAUCCAUGAAAAACUAUGCUUAUAAUCUAUAUGCUUCCGUUUAAGGAAAAUAUUGAUUCCUCUCUUAUGAACUGAUCUCAGUAAUAGGGAAAUGGCUUCUUCAACUACAGAAAGGAAGAAAAUAGUUCUGGGUAAUACUUGCAUUGAAACUUCCAGUGCUGCCAAAAUGUUAUUUUUCAAGUGACCCAUAGUAAAUAAAGUCUCUUUACUAGAAGAGGAAGGAACUUUCUAAGUUACCACUUGCUUUCUACUAUGAGUUAGUCUCCAGUCUGGAAAGUGGGGGCAGUAGGUAAGAUAAAUACUUGUCUUUCAGAAGGCAGUGUUACAGUAGACAACACAGAUCCAUAGCCAAAUAAUUUGAAUGAUAAUUUGUGUCACUAUAGCUGCAAGUACUGAGUGCUAUGGAAGCAUGUAAAAAAGGUAGCUAAUUCAUUGUUUGGGAAAGACAGCUGUCUUGAAAAACAUGACAUCUAGUAUUGGCAUGAAUUAACUAAGCAAAAAAAAAAAAAUGAAAAGGACAUUCCUAAUAGAUGAGGUACUAUGCAAAAAGACCUUUAAGUGAAAGUAUAAUACAGUGCUAGUUCAGCUGAUGUUUAUGAUGAGUUAUUCACUAUGUUCAGAUAACUCUGCUGGGUGUUACAUGUAAAGCAAAUAUCUUGAUUCACUGAAAAUAUUCUAAAUAUCUGUGUGUGUGUGUGUGUGUUAGAAGGAUGGUGGAUAGAAAGAUAGACAGGGAGAGAGUUAAACGAAUUCAAUGAAGACUCCUCAGGCUCCAAAUCCUUAAGGAUAAUUCACAGUUCUGUUUUUUGGCUUUCACAAUCUGCACAUUUCGGAAAACUUUCAUUUAAGGAAUGACAUUUUUAUUGGUGACAUUUGAAUGAUUAUUGUAUUGACUUAUAGCACAUUGACUUAUGUGAAAUGCUUUUUUAGGCUCUCCAUAAAUGCAUGUUGACUGCCUGACUUUCACAAACAUUUAAGAUAAGAAUGAUAUAUAUAGUAAGGGCAUUUUGCCAACAGGGAGCUAACUGGGUGCCACAAUAUGUAUACAAUCUAAAUCAUGAGGACAUGAAUGUCUUGUGACUGCUUGCAGGAAGCACACAGAUGCACUUUGCCAAGCAACAGAUUCACUUUUCUGCUGCUUAUUGCUGAGAAAAAAGCUUCAGGCAAGACCAAACAAACUAUUCUUGAAAAAUGACAGUAGAGUAAAUCCAUAGUAAGUUUUUUGUAUUUCUAUGGUGUCAUAGAGUGUGCAUGAAGUAGUGUCUACAUAUUGCAGACAUAGUAAAUAACAGUGUAUUUUAGAAUCAUAGUAGAUAACAAAGUACACUUUGGAAUCAGACUAUCCUUCAUGGACUUGAAACUCAGCUUUUAGAGUAGCCAUUUUUGUGGCUUUGUGUAUAUCUUUUAAUUUCUUUAAGAAUUACAUUACACAGUAGGUCAGGCAAUAUGCCCUACCCAAGAUGUCCACAUUCUAAUGUUUCAAACCUCUGGAUCUGUUGCUUUUCAUGCAAAAUGGGACAUUGCAUAUGCAUAUGUGACUAAGCUAAUGGUCUUGAAAUGUAACAAACAUCUUGAUUAUCUGGAUAGGACCAAUGUAAUUACAAUGGUCCUUAUAAAUGAAAAAUUGGAGAGUCAUCAUCAGAGAAAUGACAGCAGAGGUUAAAGAUAUGCAGAGCCACGAGCCCAAAGAAUGUGGGCAGCCUCUAGAAUAUGGAAUAUCCAAGGAAAUGGUUACAACUUUACCAUCAUAAAAUAAUCAUAAAAAGCCCUCCAUUAAAGGAUUAUUGUGAAGAUGAAUACAAAAAUUUAUCAGUAAGAUAGACUGUCAGCUUUAGAAAACCAAAUCUCAAGUAUACCUCUAGGAGAUGAAAGCUUUCCUUAUCAGGACAAAUUAACUUUUCAGUCUAUGCUUUCACAAUGCAGUUGAUAUAUUUUGGAUUAAGUAUAACAUUUCAUAAUGUAGACAGUAAUUUUACUUCCAUGGAAGGACAAUAGAACUAGCAGAAUUUAUUUGCUCAGAUAAGAAAGGAAAGAAGGCAUCAUUUAUUGAAAGCCUGGUAAGGGUCGACAUAUAAUUCAAUUUCUCACACAUUAUUUUCACCAACUUAAAAGAGGUGUGAUUUUCCCCAAUUUUAUGUGGUAACCUCACAAAAAUGUUAAGCAAUUUACCUGAAAUUCUACACUUAAUAUACAAUAGAACUAUUGAAGUGAAAGUAAGCCAAUUGUCUGAAGACAGACACAGAACAGAUUCAAGAGUGGGUCUUACCUUAUCGGAUCUUCUUGUCCUCUGUUCCUUCUCCUUUACACCUUGAAUCUAUUCUGAAGCUUAUAUCUUACCAGCCUGGCAUCACCCAUAGGAAGAAUACAUCCCUUUUCUAAUCAUUCUGUCCAAGGUCCUGAACUGGUGCUUGUUAGCCUGGUCUGGAUCAUGGACCAGAAUGAUGAGGAGAAGGUGAAACAGAUGAUUAAAUAAAUGUGAAUCAGUGAUUUAGCUAGAGAAUCAAGAAUUACAGAUUCAUUAUUGAAAUGUAUAAAUGGCCAGAGAUUUUUUUAAUGCUAGAUAUAAAAAUCUUGGUAUUUGAGAUAAUACAUCAGAAGGAAAAAUAGCAAAACCUUAGACAGAUUUUGCACUAAUAAUAAUAGAAGAAGAAGUUUGUCUCCUUGAUUCGUUAAACAGAAACCAGUAAUCAGGACCGUGGAGAAAAAUCUAACUUUCUCUCCUACUUUGUAGUUGAAACAAGGUAAGAGAGGAGACAUGAAUUUUUCAAGUUCAUACACCCAAUGCCACAUCAAUGUUAUUUAUCUGUUUAUUUUGGCUUGUAAAUCUGCCUUCAUUUCUUGAUUAUAACUGCCAAUAUAUGUUUGCUCAGCUUCCCUGGGGGCAGUCGGUUUUCACUGUAAAAUGAUUAAACCUUAUUAAACCAGAUUUAGUUCCCCAAGGUCUCUCUUACCAUUUGUUUGUCUUUUUCUCUGAGUUAAACCACUUCUUCCCAGUCAAAUCUUGAGAAUCAUCUUUGGUUUAAGUCUUCCUCACUUAGAAUUCAUGGAAUCGUGUGAAGAUUUUUUUUUUCUCAAAUUCCACAUUCUUCCUAAGUGUUUGGCUGAAUCGCAGUCUAAACAAUAAUUUGUAUCCAUUCAUUCAACCAGUUUUUGCUUAAUACUUCCUAUGUUGCAGGGACUAUUCCAGGUUCUGGAGAAAUGAUGAUAAAUAAGACAGUUCAAGAUUCUGAGAUUUAAACAGUCAGGGAAAGAGGAAAUAAAACUAACCAUUCAUGAGAGCUAUGAAGGAAGCAAGAGGAGGAUAUAAUGGGAGCAAGAGGAAGGGCAGUAGAGUAGUUUUGCAUCAGGAAAGGCUACAGAAUUGUUGGGGAAAAGUGUAGGACUACUUCAGAUGUAAAUCAAUCUCUAACUUUAAAGGAUAUCAGAAAAAAAUAUAUAAGAAUAUGAUAGGAGAAUUAUUUAUACUGAAACAUUUUUAAAAACUACUUGAUUAAAAAGUCAACUAAAAUACAAUAUGCCUGUAGAAUAGAAUGGUAUUUGGGAAGAUUUGGUUAUGCAGAGUGGAGAGAGGAGAGAAAAGACUGGAGGGAUUAGUAGGAGGUAUGAGGAAAAAAUCUGGGAAGCCAAGUGAGGGAGUUGUAUUACUGGGAAUGUGCACAGUCAUUACAGGGACUUAAGCAGAAGAAGUACAUACUCAUACUUCAGGUUUAACAAUAACUAUCUCUGAUGCAGAGUGAAACAGAGAAUGAUGAGCCUAUAGUGAGAAAACUAAACAGGAAGCUAUUUACUUUAAUUAUGAU